rnacentral:rRNA from 1 species
CCCUUAGAUGUCCUGGGCUGCACGCGCGCUACACUGAUGUGUCCAGUAAGCACCUAACCUCUUCCGAAAGGAACGGGUAACCUUUGCAAAGCACAUCGUGAUGGGGAUAGAUUAUUGCAAUUAUUAGUCUUGAACGAGGAAUUCCUAGUAAGCACAAGUCAUCAGCUUGUGUUGAUUACGUCCCUGCCCUUUGUACACACCGCCCGUCGCUCCUACCGAUUGAAUGUUCCGGUGAGCUCUUCGGACUGCGCGGUCUGCAGUUUCUGGGUUCCGUGCGGAAAGUUGCGCAAACCUUAACAUUUAGAGGAAGGAGAAGUCGUAACA